rnacentral:rRNA from 1 species
CUACGGGGCGCUCCAGUGGGGAAUAUUGCACAAUGGAGGAAACUCUGAUGCAGCAACGCCGCGUGGAGGAUGACACUUUUCGGAGCGUAAACUCCUUUUAUAUAGGAAGAAGAUGACGGUACUAUAUGAAUAAGCGCCGGCUAACCCCGUGCCAGCAGCCGCGGUAAUACGGAGGGCGCAAGCGUUACUCGGAAUCACUGGGCGUAAAGAGCGUGUAGGCGGAUUAAAAAGUCAGAAGUGAAAUCCUAUAGCUUAACUAUAGAACUGCUUCUGAAACUCUUAAUCUAGAAUAUGGGAGAGGGAGAUGGAAUUUCUGGUGUAGGGGUAACAUCCGUAGAGAUCAGAAGGAAUACCGAUUGCGUAGGCGAUCUACUAGAACAUUAUUGACGCUGAGACGCGAAAGCGUGGGGAGCAAACAGGAUUAGAUACCCCCGUAGUC